CGGUAGCUCAGUUGGUCGAGUGUGAGACUCUUCAUCUCUGGGUUGUGGGUUCAAGCCCCACGUUGGGUGAAAGA